GACAGAGGUGCCGAGCGUUAGGCGGAAUCACUGGGCUUAAAGCGUGUGUAGGCGGAUCUGUAAGUACCUUGUGAAAUCCCACGGCUCAACCGUGGAACUGCUUGGUAUACUGCGGGUCUUGAGCUAUCUAGGGGCAACUGGAACAAACGGUGGAGCGGUGAAAUGCGUAGAUAUCGUUUGGAACGCCAAUGGUGAAAACAGGUUGCUGGGGAUAUGCUGACGCUGAGGCACGAAAGCCAGGGGAGCAAACGGG
rnacentral:rRNA from 1 species